GACAGAGGCCCCAAGCGUUAGGCGGAAUCACUGGGCUUAAAGCGUGUGUAGGCGGAUCGUUAAGUGUCUUGUGAAAUCCCACGGCUCACCCGUGGAACUGCUGGGCAUACUGGCGAUCUUGGGCCAACUAGGGGCAAGCUGGAACAAGCGGUGGAGCGGUGAAAUGCGUAGAUAUCGCUUGGAACGCCGAAGGUGAAAACAGGAUCGUGCUGGGGUGUGCCGACGCUGAGACACGAAAGCCAGGGGAGCAAACGGG
rnacentral:rRNA from 1 species